rnacentral:rRNA from 1 species
GUGAGGAAUAUUGCGCAAUGGAGGCAACUCUGACGCAGCCAUGCCGCGUGCAGGAAGAAGGCGCUACGCGUUGUAAACUGCUUUUAACCGGGAAGAAACCCCAGGACGUGUCCUGGGUUGACGGUACCGGAGGAAUAAGCACCGGCUAACUUCGUGCCAGCAGCCGCGGUAAUACGAAGGGUGCAAGCGUUAUCCGGAUUCAUUGGGUUUAAAGGGUGCGUAGGCGGAGCGUUAAGUCAGUGGUGAAAUCCUGCAGCUUAACUGUAGACUUGCCAUUGAUACUGGCGCUCUUGAGUGCGCUUGAAGUGGGCGGAAUGUGCCGUGUAGCGGUGAAAUGCUUAGAUAUCACGAAGAACACCGAUUGCGUAGGCAGCUCACCAGACCACAACUGACGCUGAGGCGCGAAAGCCAGGGGAGCGAACGGGAUUAGAUACCCGAGUAGUCC